rnacentral:tRNA from 1 species
AGCCUUGUAGUGAAAUUUCAUGUAGGAUUGCAAAUCUUAAGAUACAGAGUAGUCUGUCUGGGCUU